ACGCUGGCGGCGUGCCUAAUACAUGCAAGUAGAACGCUGAAGAGAGGAGCUUGCUCUUCUUGGAUGAGUUGCGAACGGGUGAGUAACGCGUAGGUAACCUGCCUUGUAGCGGGGGAUAACUAUUGGAAACGAUGGCUAAUACCGCAUAACAAUGGAUGACCCAUGUCAUUUAUUUGAAAGGGGCAAAUGCUCCACUACAAGAUGGACCUGCGUUGUAUUAGCUAGUAGGUGAGGUAACGGCUCACCUAGGCGACGAUACAUAGCCGACCUGAGAGGGUGAUCGGCCACACUGGGACUGAGACACGGCCCAGACUCCUACGGGAGGCAGCAGUAGGGAAUCUUCGGCAAUGGGGGCAACCCUGACCGAGCAACGCCGCGUGAGUGAAGAAGGUUUUCGGAUCGUAAAGCUCUGUUGUAAGUCAAGAACGAGUGUGAGAGUGGAAAGUUCACACUGUGACGGUAGCUUACCAGAAAGGGACGGCUAACUGCGUGCCAGCAGCCGCGGUAAUACGUAGGUCCCGAGCGUUGUCCGGAUUUAUUGGGCGUAAAGCGAGCGCAGGCGGUUUGAUAAGUCUGAAGUUAAAGGCUGUGGCUCAACCAUAGUUCGCUUUGGAAACUGUCAAACUUGAGUGCAGAAGGGGAGAGUGGAAUUCCAUGUGUAGCGGUGAAAUGCGUAGAUAUAUGGAGGAACACCGGUGGCGAAAGCGGCUCUCUGGUCUGUAACUGACGCUGAGGCUCGAAAGCGUGGGGAGCGAACAGGAUUAGAUACCCUGGUAGUCCACGCCGUAAACGAUGAGUGCUAGGUGUUGGAUCCUUUCCGGGAUUCAGUGCCGCAGCUAACGCAUUAAGCACUCCGCCUGGGGAGUACGACCGCAAGGUUGAAACUCAAAGGAAUUGACGGGGGCCCGCAC
rnacentral:rRNA from 1 species